AACAAAUUAUGAUCAAUUUCUUGUUUAGUUCUUAUGGAGAAUUUACAAAACGCUAGUGCACUUUUGCAUUGCAAGGAGAGUACCAUUCUACCUGCAUAGUUGCAGUGGCUGUUUGGUUUUCCGGCCCUUGUACUGAAGGGCUAAGAAACGGUGCAGUAGAAGGCCAAUCUUGUAUGUCAAAUGUCCAAUUUUGCAGGAUCUAUUCAGUUCCUGAACUAAAUUCAAGUUUGGCUGGUUUUGGACCCUUCAAUAAUUUGUUUUAGAUGCCAUCCAAGUUUGGAAUUGCUCAAGGAGCUUUGCUACAGGGUUUUCUUUGCUUCUAUCUUCUCUGUACAUCAAUAUAUACACACUAGAAUGUCUCUCUCACUCCAUUUAUUUAUUGAUUUGCUGCCUACUGGGUUUUUGGGUAGGAAAAUAGUAACGCCAAAGUUGGACCUUGCAUUUUUUUUUUUUUUAAUAUGGAAAUAUUAGGAUGUAUAGAGCUUGUAACAUUGUAUGUUUAAGUGCCAAGAUGUACGCUAGUGAAUUGUGCAUUCGCUACUUAAGUAGAUCCUGUAUUUCGUUUUCCAUUUUACUUCUUGAUACUUUGUAGACAUUGACGUGCCAUAUUUUAUAUGUGAAAAAGAAAAUUUUAUGAAA